rnacentral:rRNA from 1 species
UACGAAGGGGGCUAGCGUUGCUGGGAAUCACUGGGCGUAAAGCGCACGUAGGCGGAUCUUUAAGUCAGGGGUGAAAUCCUGGAGCUCAACUCCAGAACUGCCUUUGAUACUGGGGAUCUCGAGUCCGGAAGAGGUGAGUGGAACUCCGAGUGUAGAGGUGAAAUUCGUAGAUAUUCGGAAGAACACCAGUGGCGAAGGCGGCUCACUGGUCCGGUACUGACGCUGAGGUGCGAAAGCGUGGGGAGCAAACAGG